rnacentral:rRNA from 2 species
GACGUAGGGGGCGAGCGUUGUCCGGAGUUACUGGGCGUAAAGGGCCUGUAGGCGGUCCGGUAGGUGAGAGGUGACAGGGGUCGGCUUAACCGGCCCAGGACCUGUCAAACGGUCGGACUGGAGGGCCAGAGAGGGACACAGAAUUCCGGGUGGAGUGGUGAAAUGCGUAGAUAUCCGGAGGAAUACCGAAGGCGUAGGCAGUGUCCUGGCUGGCAGCUGACGCUGAGGGGCGAAAGCGAGGGGAGCGAACGGG